AUUUAGUGGCGAACGGGUGAGUAACGCGUGGAUGAUCUGCCUAUGAGAUGGGGAUAACUACUAGAAAUAGUAGCUAAUACCGAAUAAGGUCAAUUAAUUUGUUAAUUGAUGAAAGGAAGCCUUUAAAGCUUCGCUUGUAGAUGAGUCUGCGUCUUAUUAGUUAGUUGGUGGGGUAAAUGCCUACCAAGGCGAUGAUAAGUAACCGGCCUGAGAGGGUGAACGGUCACACUGGAACUGAGAUACGGUCCAGACUCCUACGGGAGGCAGCAGCUAAGAAUCUUCCGCAAUGGGCGAAAGCCUGACGGAGCGACACUGCGUGAAUGAAGAAGGUCGAAAGAUUGUAAAAUUCUUUUAUAAAUGAGGAAUAAGCUUUGUAGGAAAUGACAAAGUGAUGACGUUAAUUUAUGAAUAAGCCCCGGCUAAUUACGUGCCAGCAGCCGCGGUAAUACGUAAGGGGCGAGCGUUGUUCGGGAUUAUUGGGCGUAAAGGGUGAGUAGGCGGAUAUGUAAGUCUAUGCAUAAAAUACCACAGCUCAACUGUGGAACUAUGUUGGAAACUAUAUAUCUAGAGUCUGAUAGAGGAAGUUAGAAUUUCUGGUGUAAGGGUGGAAU
rnacentral:rRNA from 1 species